GAACUGCGAUAAGUAAUGUGAAUUGCAGAAUUCAGUGAAUCAUCGAGUCUUUGAACGCACAUUGCGCCCCCUGGCAUUCCGGGGGGCAUGCCUGUCCGAGCGUCAUUGCUGCCCUUCAAGCCCGGCUUGUGUGUUGGGUCGUCGUCCCCCCCGGGGGACGGACCCGAAAGGCAGCGGCGGCACCGUGUCCGGUCCUCGAGCGUAUGGGGCUUUGUCACCCGCUCGAUAAGGACCGGCCGGGCGCCAGCCGGCGUCUCCAACCUUUUUUUCUCAGGUUGACCUCGGAUCAGGUAGGGAUACCCGCUGAACUUAAGC
rnacentral:misc_RNA from 1 species